UGAUCCUGCCGGUAUCUCAUCUCUUAGUUAAAAGAUUAAUCCAUGCAUGUGUUUGGCACAGUUAUAGUGCCUGCAGACGGCUCAUUAAAACAGAGAUAACUUACCCUCCAAUACAAUCGAAUAACUUUGCUAAUUGUGAGGCUAAUACGUGGUAACAGGUGUUAUGCAUCACCCUGAUUGUAGAAUUGUGCUCUCAAGGAAUACAACCAGGUGUUUAGAUAUAUUCUAAGGAGGAAAGGUCUCUGAUCUAUCAGCUACAGACGGUAAUGUAUUGGAUUACCGUGGCUUUGACGGAUAACGGGGAAUUAGGGUUUGAUUCCGGAGAGAGCGCAUGAGAAAUUGCGCUUACAGCUAAGGUUGGCAGCAGGAGCGAAAACUUUUCGAAUGAGCAACGCUUGAAAAGGUGACGAACUGUAUCAACAUCAGCUAACGUUGAUGAUUGAAAUGAAACGAUAUAGAUGAUUCGUUGAGUAGCUAGUUCAGGGCAAGUCU
rnacentral:rRNA from 1 species